rnacentral:rRNA from 1 species
GCUCUGGAGCGUUCAGAAAAGAAAAUGUAGGCAUAAGUAACGAUUAAGGAAGUGAAAAACUUCCUCGCCAAAAGACCAAGGGUUCCUGAUCAAUGUUAGUCAGAUCAGGUUUAGUCGGAUCCUUAGGUGAACCCGACAGGGGUAGCCGAUGGAAAACAGGUUUAUAUUCCUGUACCGGCGUAUCAAUAAAAGUGACGGAUGGACGUGGUGGCUAGGUACUGACGGAAUAGUACCUUGAGCCGAGUCUUCGGAGGAAGCGAAGCCAUAAAAUCCAUUCCAAGAAAAGCGAGAUACGCAGUCCGUACCCGAAACCGACACAGGUGGUCAAGUAGAAUAUACUAAGGCGCUCGAGUGAAUCACGGUUAAGGAACUAGGCAAAUUAGUCUCGUAACUUCGGGAGAAGAGACACCCAACGCAAGUUGGGUCGCAGAGAAAUGGCCCUGGCGACUGUUUAACAAAAACACAUGGCUAUGCUAAAUCGAAAGAUGACGUAUAUGGCCUGACACCUGCCCGGUGCUGGAAGGUUAAAAGGAGAUGUCAGCUGCAAGGCGAAGCAUUGAAUUGAAGCCCCAGUAAACGGCGGCCGUAACUAUAACGGUCCUAAGGUAGCGAAAUUCCUUGUCGGGUAUGUUCCGACCUGCACGAAUGGUGUAACGAUCUGGGCACUGUCUCAACCGUGAGCUCGGUGAAAUUGUAGUCUCGGUGAAGAUGCCGAGUACCCGCAACGGGACGGAAAGACCCUGUGAACCUUCACUAUAGCUUUGCAUUGGAGUUGGUUAAACGAUGUGUAGGAUAGGUGGGAGACUAUGAAGCUGCUUCGCUAGGAGUGGUGGAGUCAACGUUGAAAUACCACCCUUUGUUUAAUUGAUUUCUAACUAAUAGGACAGUGCAUGGCGGGUAGUUUGACUGGGGUGGUCGCCUCCGAAAGCGUAUCGGAGGCUUCCAAAGGUACCCUCAGUACGGUUGGUAAUCGUACGUAGAGUGCGAUGGCAUAAGGGUGCUUGACUGUGAGACUGACAAGUCGAUCAGGUACGAAAGUAGGGCAUAGUGAUCCGGUGGUUCCGAAUGGAAGGGCCAUCGCUCAAAGGAUAAAAGGUACUCCGGGGAUAACAGGCUGAUCACUCCCAAGAGCUCACAUCGACGGAGUGGUUUGGCACCUCGAUGCCGGCUCGUCACAUCCUGGGGCUGGAGAAGGUCCCAAGGGUUCGGCUGUUCGCCGAUUAAAGUGGCACGCGAGCUGGGUUCAGAACGUCGUGAGACAGUUCGGUCCCUAUCUGUUGUGGGCGUUUGAAUAUUGAGAGGACCUUUCUCUAGUACGAGAGGACCGGGAAGGACGCACCUCUGGUGUAUCUGUUGUGGCGCCAGCUGCAGUGCAGAGUAUCCACGUGCGGACGAGAUAAGCGCUGAAAGCAUCUAAGCGCGAAACUCACCUCAAGAUGAGUAUUCAUUGAGAGUCGUCAAAGAUGAUGACGUUGAUAGGACACAGAUGUAAAGGCAGCAAUGUCAAAGUCAAGUGUUACUAAUUACUUG